UAGGGAAUCUUCCACAAUGGACGCAAGUCUGAUGGAGCAACGCCGCGUGAGUGAAGAAGGUUUUCGGAUCGUAAAGCUCUGUUGUUGGUGAAGAAGGAUAGAGGCAGUAACUGGUCUUUAUUUGACGGUAAUCAACCAGAAAGUCACGGCUAACUACGUGCCAGCAGCCGCGGUAAUACGUAGGUGGCAAGCGUUGUCCGGAUUUAUUGGGCGUAAAGCGAGCGCAGGCGGAAUGAUAAGUCUGAUGUGAAAGCCCACGGCUCAACCGGGGAACUGCAUCGGAAACUGUCAUUCUUGAGUGCAGAAGAGGGGAGUGGAAUUCCAUGUGUAGCGGUGGAAUGCGUAGAUAUAUGGAAGAACACCAGUGGCGAAGGCGGCUCUCUGGUCUGCAACUGACGCUGAGGCUCGAAAGCAUGGGUAGCGAACAGG
rnacentral:rRNA from 1 species